GCGGGCGUCGUUUCAGCUGGCAAGACCCCAGAUUUCCAAUCUGGAGACCGAGGGUUCGAUCCCCUUCGCCCGCUCCA
rnacentral:tRNA from 1 species